AGAGUUUGAUCCUGGCUCAGGAUGAACGCUAGCUACAGGCUUAACACAUGCAAGUCGAGGGGCAGCAUGGUCUUAGCUUGCUAAGGCCGAUGGCGACCGGCGCACGGGUGAGUAACACGUAUCCAACCUGCCGUCUACUCUUGGACAGCCUUCUGAAAGGAAGAUUAAUACAAGAUGGCAUCAUGAGUCCGCAUGUUCACAUGAUUAAAGGUAUUCCGGUAGACGAUGGGGAUGCGUUCCAUUAGAUAGUAGGCGGGGUAACGGCCCACCUAGUCUUCGAUGGAUAGGGGUUCUGAGAGGAAGGUCCCCCACAUUGGAACUGAGACACGGUCCAAACUCCUACGGGAGGCAGCAGUGAGGAAUAUUGGUCAAUGGGCGAGAGCCUGAACCAGCCAAGUAGCGUGAAGGAUGACUGCCCUAUGGGUUGUAAACUUCUUUUAUAAAGGAAUAAAGUCGGGUAUGUAUACCCGUUUGCAUGUACUUUAUGAAUAAGGAUCGGCUAACUCCGUGCCAGCAGCCGCGGUAAUACGGAGGAUCCGAGCGUUAUCCGGAUUUAUUGGGUUUAAAGGGAGCGUAGAUGGAUGUUUAAGUCAGUUGUGAAAGUUUGCGGCUCAACCGUAAAAUUGCAGUUGAUACUGGAUAUCUUGAGUGCAGUUGAGGCAGGCGGAAUUCGUGGUGUAGCGGUGAAAUGCUUAGAUAUCACGAAGAACUCCGAUUGCGAAGGCAGCCUGCUAAGCUGCAACUGACAUUGAGGCUCGAAAGUGUGGGUAUCAAACAGGAUUAGAUACCCUGGUAGUCCACACGGUAAACGAUG
rnacentral:rRNA from 1 species